rnacentral:rRNA from 1 species
GAUGAACGCUGGCGGCGUGCCUAAUACAUGCGAGUCGAGCGAACGGACGAGAAGCUUGCUUCUCUGAUGUUAGCGGCGGACGGGUGAGUCACACGUGGAUAACCUACCUAUAAGACUGGGAUAACUUCGGGAAACCGGAGCUAAUACCGGAUAAUAUUUUGAACCGCAUGGUUCAAAAGUGAAAGACGGUCUUGCUGUCACUUAUAGAUGGAUCCGCGCUGCAUUAGCUAGUUGGUAAGGUAACGGCUUACCAAGGCAACGAUGCAUAGCCGACCUGAGAGGGUGAUCGGCCACACGGGAACUGAGACGCGGUCCAGACUCCUGCGGGAGGCAGCAGUAGGGAAUCUUCCGCAAUGGGCGAAAGCCUGACGGAGCAACGCCGCGUGAGUGAUGAAGGUCUUCGGAUCGGAAAACUCUGUUAUUAGGGAAGAACAUAUGUGUAAGUAACUGUGCACAUCGUGACGGUACCUAAUCAGAAAGCCACGGCUAACUACGUG